UCAUUUGUCGACCAGCCGCCGCCUGGCAAGGGUCACGUUGAUUACCAGUGAAAAAAAAGUGUGUUACAGAUAUCAUUACGCAAUCAUAAUAUAGGAAGGAUUGUUCGGGGAGUGUGGCACGUGUGGACAAGUGUUGGAUCAGAGGAGUCUAGGUCUAGAGAGCUGUAGCGGGAGUGCGAAGAUUCUGGGAGGGUUCUGGGAAGUUGCCCAGAUCCUGGAGUCUUGGGACCCCACUAGUCCUCACUCCAGCCACUCACCCUUCAGGACUACCAGAACAAGCUCAGCAAAGGAUACUACACCAAUCACAACCAUUGUGUGUGAUAUCCACAAGGUUAAUGGUUUGAAUGGCGAUGUGACCACAUCUAAUACGUACCCAGAUCCCCUACCCCCGCCAAUCAUAGACGAACUUGCAACUACAGUACUAGCUGAAACCAUGUCAACAGCCAUACCGAUGCCCGUACCAGAACUACCAUGUGCCUUUAAUACCAAAUAAGUGACUUUGUUUAUGAUAAAGACUAACCAGUUGUCUAUUUGAGUGUAUAUAUAUAUUAAAUUAUAUAAUAUAAUGGCAUUAUAUGUCAACAGCAACUGUUUUUGGAAUAAUCAUAAUUAGUCUCUCUCCCCCCCCUCCCUCCCUGUCUCUCCCUUCUAUCUC
rnacentral:lncRNA from 1 species